GGUUAAGCGACUAAGCGUACACGGUGGAUGCCCUGGCAGUCAGAGGCGAUGAAGGACGUGCUAAUCUGCGAAAAGCGUCGGUAAGGUGAUAUGAACCGUUAUAACCGGCGAUGUCCGAAUGGGGAAACCCAGUGCAAUUCGUUGCACUAUCGUUAACUGAAUACAUAGGUUAACGAGGCGAACCGGGGGAACUGAAACAUCUAAGUACCCCGAGGAAAAGAAAUCAACCGAGAUUCCCCCAGUAGCGGCGAGCGAACGGGGAGCAGCCCAGAGUCUGAAUCAGCUUGUGUGUUAGUGGAACGGUCUGGAAAGUCCGACGGUACAGGGUGAUAGUCCCGUACACCAAAAUGCACAGGCUGUGAACUCGAAGAGUAGGGCGGGACACGUGGUAUCCUGUCUGAAUAUGGGGGGACCAUCCUCCAAGGCUAAAUACUCCUGACUGACCGAUAGUGAACCAGUACCGUGAGGGAAAGGCGAAAAGAACCCCGGCGAGGGGAGUGAAAAAGAACCUGAAACCGUGUACGUACAAGCAGUGGGAGCACCUUCGGGUGUGACUGCGUACCUUUUGUAUAAUGGGUCAGCGACUUAUAUUCUGUAGCAAGGUUAACCGUAUAGGGGAGCCGCAGGGAAACCGAGUCUUAACUGGGCGUUAAGUUGCAGGGUAUAGACCCGAAACCCGGUGAUCUAGCCAUGGGCAGGUUGAAGGUUGGGUAACACUAACUGGAGGACCGAACCGACUAAUGUUGAAAAAUUAGCGGAUGACUUGUGGCUGGGGGUGAAAGGCCAAUCAAACCGGGAGAUAGCUGGUUCUCCCCGAAAGCUAUUUAGGUAGCGCCUCGUGAACUCAUCUUCGGGGGUAGAGCACUGUUUCGGCUAGGGGGUCAUCCCGACUUACCAACCCGAUGCAAACUACGAAUACCGAAGAAUGUUAUCACGGGAGACACACGGCGGGUGCUAACGUCCGUCGUGAAGAGGGAAACAACCCAGACCGCCAGCUAAGGUCCCAAAGUCAUGGUUAAGUGGGAAACGAUGUGGGAAGGCACAGACAGCCAGGAUGUUGGCUUAGAAGCAGCCAUCAUUUAAAGAAAGCGUAAUAGCUCACUGGUCGAGUCGGCCUGCGCGGAAGAUGUAACGGGGCUAAACCAUGCACCGAAGCUGCGGCAGCGACACUAUGUGUUGUUGGGUAGGGGAGCGUUCUGUAAGCCUGCGAAGGUGUGCUGUGAGGCAUGCUGGAGGUAUCAGAAGUGCGAAUGCUGACAUAAGUAACGAUAAAGCGGGUGAAAAGCCCGCUCGCCGGAAGACCAAGGGUUCCUGUCCAACGUUAAUCGGGGCAGGGUGAGUCGACCCCUAAGGCGAGGCCGAAAGGCGUAGUCGAUGGGAAACAGGUUAAUAUUCCUGUACUUGGUGUUACUGCGAAGGGGGGACGGAGAAGGCUAUGUUAGCCGGGCGACGGUUGUCCCGGUUUAAGCAUGUAGGCUGAUUAUCCAGGCAAAUCCGGAUAAUCAAGGCUGAGGUGUGAUGACGAGGCACUACGGUGCUGAAGUAACAAAUGCCCUGCUUCCAGGAAAAGCCUCUAAGCAUCAGGUAACAUCAAAUCGUACCCCAAACCGACACAGGUGGUCAGGUAGAGAAUACCAAGGCGCUUGAGAGAACUCGGGUGAAGGAACUAGGCAAAAUGGUGCCGUAACUUCGGGAGAAGGCACGCUGGUGUGUAGGUGAAGCCCCUGCGGGUGGAGCUGAGACCAGUCGAAGAUACCAGCUGGCUGCAACUGUUUAUUAAAAACACAGCACUGUGCAAACACGAAAGUGGACGUAUACGGUGUGACGCCUGCCCGGUGCCGGAAGGUUAAUUGAUGGGGUUAUCCGUAAGGAGAAGCUCUUGAUCGAAGCCCCGGUAAACGGCGGCCGUAACUAUAACGGUCCUAAGGUAGCGAAAUUCCUUGUCGGGUAAGUUCCGACCUGCACGAAUGGCGUAAUGAUGGCCAGGCUGUCUCCACCCGAGACUCAGUGAAAUUGAACUCGCUGUGAAGAUGCAGUGUACCCGCGGCAAGACGGAAAGACCCCGUGAACCUUUACUAUAGCUUGACACUGAACAUUGAGCCUUGAUGUGUAGGAUAGGUGGGAGGCUUUGAAGCGUGGACGCCAGUCUGCGUGGAGCCAACCUUGAAAUACCACCCUUUAAUGUUUGAUGUUCUAACGUUGGCCCCUGACCGGGGUUGCGGACAGUGUCUGGUGGGUAGUUUGACUGGGGCGGUCUCCUCCCAAAGCGUAACGGAGGAGCACGAAGGUUAGCUAAUCCUGGUCGGACAUCAGGAGGUUAGUGCAAUGGCAUAAGCUAGCUUGACUGCGAGCGUGACGGCGCGAGCAGGUGCGAAAGCAGGUCAUAGUGAUCCGGUGGUUCUGAAUGGAAGGGCCAUCGCUCAACGGAUAAAAGGUACUCCGGGGAUAACAGGCUGAUACCGCCCAAGAGUUCAUAUCGACGGCGGUGUUUGGCACCUCGAUGUCGGCUCAUCACAUCCUGGGGCUGAAGUAGGUCCCAAGGGUAUGGCUGUUCGCCAUUUAAAGUGGUACGCGAGCUGGGUUUAGAACGUCGUGAGACAGUUCGGUCCCUAUCUGCCGUGGGCGCUGGAGAAUUGAGGGGGGCUGCUCCUAGUACGAGAGGACCGGAGUGGACGCAUCACUGGUGUUCGGGUUGUCAUGCCAAUGGCACUGCCCGGUAGCUAAAUGCGGAAGAGAUAAGUGCUGAAAGCAUCUAAGCACGAAACUUGCCCCGAGAUGAGUUCUCCCUGAGACUUUAAGUCUCCUGAAGGAACGUUGAAGACGACGACGUUGAUAGGCCGGGUGUGUAAGCGCAGCGAUGCGUUGAGCUAACCGGUACUAAUGAACCGUGAGGCUUAACCUU
rnacentral:rRNA from 1 species